rnacentral:rRNA from 1 species
AUUGAACGCUGGCGGCAUGCCUUACACAUGCAAGUCGAACGGUAACAGGUCUUCGGACGCUGACGAGUGGCGAACGGGUGAGUAAUACAUCGGAACGUGCCCAGUCGUGGGGGAUAACUACUCGAAAGAGUAGCUAAUACCGCAUACGAUCUGAGGAUGAAAGCGGGGGACCUUCGGGCCUCGCGCGAUUGGAGCGGCCGAUGGCAGAUUAGGUAGUUGGUGGGAUAAAAGCUUACCAAGCCGACGAUCUGUAGCUGGUCUGAGAGGACGACCAGCCACACUGGGACGGAGACACGGCCCAGAUGCCUACGGGAGGCAGCAGUGGGGAAUUUUGGACAAUGGGCGAAAGCCUGAUCCAGCAAUGCCGCGUGCAGGAUGAAGGCCUUCGGGUUGUAAACUGCUUUUGUACGGAACGAAAAAGCUUCUCCUAAUACGAGAGGCCCAUGACGGUACCGUAAGAAUAAGCACCGGCUAACUACGUGCCAGCCGCCACAGUAACAC